CGGCGAGUGAAGCGGGAUGAGCUCAAAUUUAAAAUCUGGCUGCCUCAGGUGGUCCGAGUUGUAGUCUCGAGAAGUGUUUUCCGCGUUGGCCUGUGUACAAGUCCUUUGGAAUAAGGCGUCAUAGAGGGUGAGAAUCCCGUCCUUGACACAGAUCCCCAAUGCUUUGUGAUGCGCUCUCAAAGAGUCGAGUUGUUUGGGAAUGCAGCUCAAAAUGGGUGGUAAAUUCCAUCUAAAGCUAAAUAUUGGCGAGAGACCGAUAGCGAACAAGUACCGUGAGGGAAAGAUGAAAAGCACUUUGGAAAGAGAGUUAAACAGUACGUGAAAUUGUUGAAAGGGAAACGAUUGAAGUCAGUCAUGCUCGUAGGGAUUCAGCCGGUUCUGCCGGUGUAUUUCCCUACUUGCAGGCCAGCAUCAGUUUUGACCGGUGGAAAAGGUUGGAGGGAAUGUGGCAUCCUCGGAUGUGUUAUASCCCUCUUUCGCAUACAUCGG
rnacentral:rRNA from 1 species